rnacentral:lncRNA from 1 species
UAAAGACAAAUAGAUCGAGGGAAUUUAUAUUUGAAUCUUUGCUAAAUAAUCUCUUAGCCAUCAAAAGGUUUAAAAAAAUGGAGAAAAAAUGGUUUCUUAUUAAGUUGUUGGUGUUUGAUUAGUUGACGAAAUUCAUUUAAAGACAAAUAGAUCAAGGGAAUUUAUAUUUGAAUCUUUGCUAAAUAAUCUCUUAGCCAUCAAAAGGUUAAAAAAAAAAAACUAGAGACAAAUAAGUAACAUGCAAAAAUGGAGAAAAAAAUUGUAAUGUAUUUCAUUUGUGAAAUAAAACAAUUCUCAAGCACUAGCAGUAGUUGGUCCAUUCUCACUCAAACCGAGCGUAGAAAGCCCAUUAUCAACACUGGGCUGGGCUUGAUUAUUAUUCACUUCAAACAUCUUAACAAGCUCAGAAUCAACAUUCUCCACAGGCUCCCAAGUGGGCUCUUCCAAAUCAACCCAUUUAACCAAACACUCAUACUUCCCAUCAUCCCCAAGUCUCCGACCAACCACCGCUUCCGCCACCGCAUACUCAAGACCAGCCUCAUAAUCCUUCACCAAAUCCUCCGCCACAUACUUUGCUUUCACCCACUCGUUAGCACUUUCAUCUUUCCAACGAACCAAAUACUCCAAAUUCUCACCCUUCCCUCUCUUUUCCAUAAUCUCCUCUACCUCAGAAUACUCAAACACCG